AUAUCAAUAAGCAGGARGGAAAAAGAAKCUACCAGGRUUCCCCCUAGUAACUGCGAGUGAAGCGGGRAAAGCUCAAAUUUAAAAUCUGGCGGUCUCCGGCCGUCCGAGUUGUAAUCUAGAGAAGUGUUAUCCGCGCUGGACCGUGUACAAGUCUCCUGGAAUGGAGCGUCAUAGAGGGUGAGAAUCCCGUCUUUGACACGGACUGCCAGGGCUUUGUGAUGCGCUCUCAAAGAGUCGAGUUGUUUGGGAAUGCAGCUCNAAAAUGGGUGGUAAAUUCCAUCUAAAGCUAAAUAUUGGCGAGAGACCGAUAGCGAACAAGUACCGUGAGGGAAAGAUGAAAAGAACUUUGGAAAGAGAGUUAAACAGUACGUGAAAUUGCUGAAAGGGAAACGCUUGAAGUCAGUCGCGUUGGCCGGGGAUCAACCUUGCUUUUGCUGGGCGUACUUUCCGGUUGACGGGUCAGCAUCAAUUUUGACCGUUGGAUAAAGUYCAGGGGAAUGUGGCAUCUUCGGAUGUGUUAUAGCCCUUGGUCGCAUACAACGGUUGGGAUUGAGGAACUCAGCACGCCGCAANGCCGGGUACUUGUACCCACGUUCGUGCUUAGGAUGCUGGCAUAAUGGCUUUNAANUCGACCCGUCUNUGAAACACGGACCAAGGAGUCUAACAUGCCUGCGAGUGUUUGGGUGGAAAACUCGGACGCGUAAUGAAAGUGAAAGUUGAGNAUCCCUGUCGCGGGGAGCAUCGACGCCCGGRMCAGAACCUUUUGUGACGGAUCCGCGGUAGAGCAUGUAUGUUGGGACCCGAAAGAUGGUGAACUAUGCCUGAAUAGGGUGAAGCCAGAGGAAACUCUGGUGGAGGCUCGUAGCGAUUCUGACGUGCAAAUCGAUNCGNUCAAAUUUGGGUAUAGGGGCCGAAAGACUAACGAUNCUCWUCCUAGUAGCU
rnacentral:rRNA from 1 species